rnacentral:lncRNA from 1 species
AAUAUUAAUAAUAAUAAUAAUAAUAAUAAUAAUAAUAAAUUUGACACUUAUAAUAUGUAGGAAUAAAGACUGCAGAGGUAUUUAGCUUGUGAUUCAGACUAUAAGCGCGCGCACUCUCUCGGUCUCCACACACACACACCCGCACGCACGCGCCCACGCACGCACGCACACAUACACUCGCGCAUGCAGACCUGUCCAUCUUUCGUCAGCGCGCGCUAUGACGUCAUAGCCGGAGAACGGUGAAAACCCAGGAACGUUCUACUCCGCGGUCGCUUUGAGGUCAGUCAGCUGCAGAGCGCACGCAUCUCUUUAUAUCAGUAGCCUAUCGAUAUCUAAACCCAGCGACUGAGUGAGGACUGAAAUCCAGCAUGUGGUACCAGGUGAGCCGAGAGCACCUGGAGGUGAAGUUCAUCAAGGAAAGGCUGUGGCUGGAGGAGCGACUGGAGAGGCUUCAGGACAUCAUGAGGCGCGAGGCGCACAUAAGGAUGGAGCAGUUUAAGAAGCAAUGUAGUAGUAAAGAUCUGGAAAGUAAGCUAGAAAGUGGAGAGAGAAGGGUGGAGGAAGAAAAGGUCACACAGGAGAUGACCGAUAAAAUAAAAGCUUUAGAGACAAAAAUGGAAGAGCUGAUGAGGCAGGAGGAGAUAAAGCAAAGAGUCGGAGCUCUGGAGGCAGCGACGGAGGAGAUGAGUGAGAAGCUCAAACAGGAAGAACUCAGGGAUAAAGUCAGGGUUCUGGAGGCAACAGUAGAGGCAGUAAUGGAGAAAGUUAGACAGCUGGAGAAACAAAAAGAGGAAUGCCAGGCUCUGUUGAAGGAACACAAAGAAACGGAGGUGGAGAGACAGAGAGCUGAGGUAGAAAGAAAAGAAAUAGAGCAAGAGAAAGAAAGGCUGACAGAACAGGAAAGGAGUCUCCUCAUGGAAGUGGCCCAGCACUGGAAGAAAACUGCUUUAGAGCAGCUCGAGGAGAUGAGAUGGUAUCGAGAAAAAUAUCAGACAGAAAUAGAGCUGUUGACUGAGAUGGAGAGAAAAGCAUUAAUGUCUAAAAAGGACAACAGCUUUAUGAAAGAGCGAGUGAGGAUUGAGGAGGAGAGAAGGAAAGCAUCCAGUGACAUUGAAGAGAUGAAAGAGAGACGAGAGAAGAUGCUGGAGGCCGAGAGAAAGAUUGUAGUGGAGAGGUCGAAAAAGAUGGACCAGGAUUGGAUUAAAACUCGGAUUGAGAUGCUAAAUAUAGAGGCCGAAAAAGAGGUAACUGAGAAAGAAAUGGAGAGAGAGAGAGCAAAGCAGGUGUACAAGGAGAGGCAGUUUAGAAACGAGGUACACAGGCAGAAGAUAGAAUUGGAGAGACAGGAGAAGAAGAAAAUGAAGAUUAUGGACAAGGAGUGGAGGAAAAUUGAGGACGAAAAGGAAGAGAUCGAGGGUAGCUGGAUGGAGGUACAGGAGACGGGUAUAGGGAAGAAAAAGGAGAAGAAGAAAGACAAGAAGAGGGAGGAGAUAGAGGUAGUCAACAGACUGACCGAGAUAGAAAUAGAAAGAACUGAGGAGAAAAAGAAAAGAAUGGAGGAAAGGAGAUUGCGGAGAGAGCAGAGGGCAGAGAGAGAGAGGCAGGCGGCUGAAAUGAAGGAAAGAGAAAGACAGGCCGCAGAAAUGAAGGAGAGAGAGAGACAGGAAGCUGAAAUGAAGGAGAGAGAGAGACAGAGGCAGGAAGCUGAAAUGAAGGAAAGAGAAAGACAGGCCGCAGAAAUGAAGGAGAGAGAGAGACAGGCAGCUGAAAUGAAGGAGAGAGAGAGGCAGAGACAGGCAGCUGAAAUGAAGGAGAAAGAGAGACAGGCCGCAGAAAGGAAGGAGAGAGAGAGACAGGCAGCUGAAAUGAAGGAAAGAGAGAGGCAGGCAGCUGAAAUGAAGGAGAAAGAGAGGCAGGUAGCUGAAAAGAAGGAGAAAGAGAGACAGGCAGCUGAAAUGAAGGCGAGGGAGAAGAAGAAGCCGAAGAAGGUGAGGUUCAGCGAUCCUCUAGAGAUUGGUCCAACCAGGCUGAAACCACAGCUCAGAGAGGAGUGUAAAAGCAGCCAAUCCACCACAGCUGAUCAAACAUCAGAGCUGAAGACACUCAAAGACUCAGAGGAAUCAAAGCUGCCUGCUCUGAAGAUUUUUACCAGUAGCAGGAAAACCAAGCUGCUGGAUUCGUACGAGAAGCUUGAUAAAGAAAUGGAUGAGCUGCUGAACAGUUGUGAGUAAGAAGACCAAUAGAUCUCCUUCAGAAACAUCAGCCAGAAAAAUAAGACCAGCGACAACAGAGAGGAGAUCACACCCCUUUUCUUUUCUGGAGUUUCCAAGAACUUCACUCAAAAAAUCAGGAUUUUUUUCAGGAUUCUCCCCUCUCCCNNNNNNNNNNNNNNNNNNNNNNNNNNNNNNNNNNNNNNNNNNNNNNNNNNNNNNNNNNNNNN